CUCUGACAAGCAGCUUUGAGGUAAAAGUUGUCAGCUGCAGAGUUUUGGAGGGAAAGUUGUAAACUGUUACUAUUGGUUGUCUCCAGGCAGAGAAAGAAGGUUCUAGCUGCCUGAGGUAACAAACUCACUCAUUGGCUAAGGUAUCCGUUUAGAACUGAAUAAAAGGGAGACAGUAUUAUAGCCCAGGGGAAGCGGAGCUUAGAGAGAGGAGUUCUGUUAGACUGUUUACUGCUGAGUGUUGUGUGAGCCGGAACACAAGCAGUAUAAAGAUUGGGCUGAAACUGCUAGGGAAGUCAGCAAUGAGGGAUCUGGUGUUAUUGAAGCCUGCCUCAUGACAGAAGAAGGCUAGCAAGUUUGAUUGUUUGUAUUUCUGUACUCUUGCCAACCUAAUCUUUCAUCAACUGUCCCUGUACUUUUUUGCAUUUUUGAAACUUUAUCACAAGUAAACCUUUCUUUUUUAAAAUAUAUUUUCUGGUGUCUCUGUCAGUUAUUUUAUUCCCACUGCACACCUACCUGCCUGUUUUACCACACUACUAAGUGUUGCUCUUGUUUUUCCAAUGACAGAGAGUUUAGUGACUGUAAGCCUAAGUAGUCACACCAGUUUAACAGUCUUUUUGGUGGCAGCGGAUAGUUAGACUGAGAGCCAGCUGCUGUCAAGCCCUUACAAGUGGUGGCAGUUUGUGAUGGGAUCCAUAACCCAUGGGACAGAGAUUUCUGGCAAGUGGCAGACUUUUUGAAGUAGCCAACUUGUUUUUCCAGUAGAGUGAACAUCUGUCCCCAAACUGGUCUGAGGAAAACAGACCAAGAAAAUGGCAGAGUAUAUGUCCAUGAACAAGGCAGCUUUGGUGGAGAGAUGUCAGUCCAAUGGUCUGUCCUGGUAAGGAAAUAGAAUGGAUGAAAUGAGAGUUCUCCUCAUCCAGUCUGAGGCAGCAACCAGGCAGGCUUCAAAGAACCCCAAUUCAGUGAAGCCCAGAGUGGAUCCAGUUUAAGGAACUGGAGAUGCUGCAAUGCCAGCAAGAGGAAGACCAUCACCUGGGGGAACAGCGUUUCAAGCAGCAAGAGGCAGACCGUCAGCAGAGAGAGGCAGAGCUUCACUGGGAGGAACACUUCCUUUGCUUGCAGGAGGUCCAGAUCUGGCAGCAGGAGGAAUAGCGCAAGGACAAACAGGAAGAACGCAGAUACGAGAAAGAGAUGCUGCUGCUUCAGCAACAACAGGCUGCCAAAGUCACCCCUGAAGACUUCACUGCCUACACCCCAGGGGAAGACCUUCAUGUGUUCUUGACCACCUUUGAAAGAGUAGCACAAAACUGGGGGAUUCAGGAGGAUAAAAUUUCUUGUAUUCGGACCAAGAUGGAUUCAAUGGUUAUUGCAGAGUCUACUGUGGAGAUCAUUUUCACUUUGUGACUCCUGAGGAAGUGGACAAACUGCUUCGGACAACCUGUUCUCUGACCCUUGCCCAACUUGGCUUAUCUCAUCUGAUAACUUUAUUAUCAGAGAGGGUCUGGUGUGCCAGUGACUAAUCUCAUGCGUGGCAGCUCUCACAAGAUUUCCUGGCAGGACAGGACAGAGCACAGCAGGGGGAGCCUCACUCCGAGCCAGCCUGCGGAGGAGGGAAGGAGGUCAAGGAGGAGGCGCCACCGCGAGUCGGCAGGAGAGCGCACAUUGGCUCCAACCCCUGCCUCCUCAUAAGGAGGAUGGCUGAGCAGGCGGCGGCACACCGUAAAAACGGGGCUCAAAGGAUUGGGAUGAGAAUGAACUGGCCAAAGUGAUUUAUGUAGGGGUAGAGAACGAACUGGCUGAAGGGAUGGAAAUGAAGUGAAGAUGGGGCAGGGAGCUGGAAAGGUUGCGGGGUGGAGGGAGAACUUGGGGCACAGAUGCUCUGUGCCAGGUAAGCUAGUUUUAAUAACUGUUUUAUACUAUUUUUAUUUUUUCUUGUGUAUUUUAAUCUGUGUUGACUUUUAAAUAUUAUUUUAAAAAGUUUACACUGCCUAGAGAUGUACAUACCAGGCGGUAUUAAAAUAUGAUAAUUAAAAAUAAACCUAUACUGCUUCUUUUA